rnacentral:rRNA from 1 species
UACGUAGGGUGCGAGCGUUAAUCGGAAUUACUGGGCGUAAAGCGUGCGCAGGCGGUUCGUUGUGUCCGUCGUGAAAGCCCCGGGCUUAACCUGGGAACUGCGAUGGAAACUAGCGAGCUUGAGCACGGUAGAGGCAGAUGGAAUUCCCGGUGUAGCGGUGGAAUGCGUAGAGAUCGGGAAGAACAUCAGUGGCGAAGGCGGUCUGCUGGGCCGUUGCUGACGCUGAGGCGCGACAGCGUGGGGAGCAAACAGG